UCCCUGGUGGCUUAGAGGGUAAAGCAUUUGCCUGCAAUGCAGGAGACCCAGGUUCUCCUUGGGUCGGGAA
rnacentral:tRNA from 1 species